rnacentral:rRNA from 1 species
GAUGAACGCUGGCGGCGUGCCUAAUACAUGCAAGUCGAGCGAACAGACGAGGAGCUUGCUCCUCUGACGUUAGCGGCGGACGGGUGAGUAACACGUGGAUAACCUACCUAUAAGACUGGGAUAACUUCGGGAAACCGGAGCUAAUACCGGAUAAUAUAUUGAACCGCAUGGUUCAAUAGUGAAAGACGGUUUUGCUGUCACUUAUAGAUGGAUCCGCGCCGCAUUAGCUAGUUGGUAAGGUAACGGCUUACCAAGGCAACGAUGCGUAGCCGACCUGAGAGGUGGGCCGGCCCCCGUGGACCUGCGCCCCGCCCCAGCCCCCUCCGGGGGGCAGCAUUGGGAAUUCUCCCACAGGGGGGGAAGCCCUGCCGGAGCACCCCCGGGUGGGUAUGAAAGGUCUCGGUAUCGUAAACCUUUUUUAUUGGGAAAAAACAAAUGUGUAAGUAACUAUGCCCGUCUUGACGUUACCUAAUAAAAAACCCCCGCCUAACUACGUC